UCAACGCUGGCGGCGUGCCUCAGACAUGCAAGUCGAACGAGAAGUCCCCUUCGGGGGAGUGGACAGUGGCGCACGGGUGAGUAACACGUGGGUAAUUUACCUUCGGGUGGGGAACGAACAGCCGGAACGGACUGCUAAUAACCGCAUAAUGCAGCGGCUCGACAUCGAGACAGUUGUUAAAGACGGGGGAGUCCAAAAGAACCUCGCGCCUGAAGAGAAGCCCGCGGCA
rnacentral:rRNA from 1 species